GGGAGCAACCUAGUUGUGCGUGUGUAAAGGUAGUGCCAAGAAAAGCGAUGAUCAUGUUGAAAAUCAAUUCCCGGUACCCGAAACCGACACAGGUGGGCAAGUAGAGAAUACUAAGGGGCGCGAGGUAAAUCUCUCCAAGGAACUCGGCAAAAUGACCCCGUAACUUAGGGAGAAGGGGUGCCACCGAGAGGUGGUCGCAGUGAAGAGGCCCAGGCGACUGUUUAGCAAAAACAUAGGUCUCUGCAAACUCGAAAGAGGAGGUAUAGGGGCUGACGCCUGCCCAGUGCCGGAAGGUUAAAGAAGUUGGUCAGUCUUAGGAUGAAGCUAGCGACUGAAGCCCCGGUGAACGGCGGCCGUAACUAUAACGGUCCUAAGGUAGCGAAAUUCCUUGUCGGGUAAGUUCCGACCCGCACGAAAGGCGUAACGAUCUGGGCGCUGUCUCGGAGAGAGGCUCGGCGAAAUAGGAUUGUCUGUGAAGAUACGGACUACCUGCAUUUGGACAGAAAGACCCUAUGAAGCUUUACUAUAGCUUGGAAUUGUGUUCGGGCUUCCUGUGCGCAGGAUAGGUGGGAGGCGUAGAAGGUAUUCUUGUGGGGAUACUGGAGCCAACGGUGAGAUACCACUCUCAGGAGGCUAGAAUUCUAACUUAAUUAAGGACAGUUUCAGGUGGGUAGUUUGACUGGGGCGGUCGCCUCCAAAAAGGUAACGGAGGCGUACAAAGGUUCCCUCAGACUGGUUGGAAAUCAGUCGAAGAGUGCAAAGGCAGAAGGGAGCUUGACUGCGAGAAGUACAGUUCGAGCAGGGUGGAAACACGGUCUUAGUGAUCCGACGGUGCUGUGUGGAAGGGCCGUCGCUCAACGGAUAAAAGUUACUCUAGGAUAACAGGCUGAUCUCCCCCAAGAGUUCACAUCGACGGGGAGGUUUGGCACCUCGAUGUCGGCUCAUCGCAACCUGGGGCGGAAGUACGUCCCAAGGGUUGGGCUGUUCGCCCAUUAAAGCGGUACGUGAGCUGGGUUCAGAACGUCGUGAGACAGUUCGGUCCAUAUCCGAUGUAGGCGUGAGAAUAUUGAGAGGAGCCUUCCUUAGUACGAGAGGACCGGGAAGGACGCACCGCUGGUGUACCUGUUAUGAUGCCAAUUGUAAACGCAGGGUAGCCAAGUGCGGAGAGGAUAACCGCUGAAAGCAUCUAAGUGGGAAGCCCACCUCAAGAUGAGUAUUCUGGUGUAAGGUCACGGGAAGACGACCCGUAAAUAGGCACGAGGUGGAAGUGCAGAGAUGUAUGAAGCCGAAGUGUACUAAUAGACCGUCGGCUUGAC
rnacentral:rRNA from 1 species